rnacentral:lncRNA from 10 species
UGAUGGGAGAGGCAUGAUAUAUUGGGGCGAAGGGGCGGCACGGACAGAGUUUCAUCCUUGUUGCCCCGGCUGGAGUUCAAUGGUGCAAUCUCAGCUCACUGCAACUCCCCUGAUCUCAGGCCAUCCGCCCACCUCAGCCUCCCAAAGUGCUGGGAUUACAGGCAUGAGCCACCACGCCCGGCCUCUGCUUUCUUUCUCUGUGAUUUGACUAUUCCAGAUCCCUCAUCUGGGAGUUAAAAAAAAUUCUGCCGUAGCCUACCGCCUCAUGACUUUGAGUCUGUCUGUAUUACACCAAGACAACAUAGAAGUUAUGAGCCUUGUGAAGGAGGUGCCUGCUUCGCCUUCCUCCAUGAUUGUAAAUUUCCUGAGGCCUCAUCAGCCAUGUGGAACUACUACAGAAUCCUGGCGAGGAACCUAUUCCUAUAUUUACCUCCAUCUCUCUGGUACCUGGCCUAAGUCUACACAGUAGGUAUGUAAACAUUGUUGAACAAAUAUAUGCUGUUCUUAUCACAAGUGUUGGUAGUAGGAUUACCAGUGUCUAUGUUUUACGUAAGAGAAAGCAGCUUCCAAAAAAGGUUGGGAUCUGUUCAGGCCUCAGCUUCGAAGUGCAGGCCUUCUAAUAAUAGAGACUGAAUUUUUCCACUUAUGUCUGGCUACAUGCAACAGACGCAGCUUUGAAUUUGGAGCUUCUGUGUUCCUUCUUGCUAGAUCCAGGAAUGGAAGUGGGUUAGGUGCCUGUUUGCUGGCCUUGUGAUUAACACAGCAUCACUUGACCUCUAGGACAUUCUUGUUGAUUUCUGUGGGCCAUUCCCAUUGGCAGCUGGGGUGGGAGGCAGGGG